UACGUAGGUCCCGAGCGUUGUCCGGAUUUAUUGGGCGUAAAGCGAGCGCAGGUGGUUUAUUAAGUCUGGUGUAAAAGGCAGUGGCUCAACCAUUGUAUGCAUUGGAAACUGGUAGACUUGAGUGCAGGAGAGGAGAGUGGAAUUCCAUGUGUAGCGGUGAAAUGCGUAGAUAUAUGGAGGAACACCGGUGGCGAAAGCGGCUCUCUGGCCAGUAACUGACACUGAGGCUCGAAAGCGUGGGGAGCAAACAGG
rnacentral:rRNA from 1 species